UUCUGCAGGCAUAGCUGUUGUCUUGUCUUGUAGCGUGGACAAAAACAGAGUAGUGGAGGUAGUGGUUGUACACUUGUACUUUGUCAACUCUGUUAACGAGGGACAAAUGCUCAGUGCUAUCCAUAUGACCGUUGUUACCUCCCUUUCAAUUCUUCGUUCUUCUUAGAUAAGAUUGAAUUGAGAAACAACUACUUUGGAUC
rnacentral:lncRNA from 1 species